UGAAGUCUGUGCCUUCUCGAACGCUUAUUUGUUGCUAUGGAGAUCAAGGGCUGCCGAGGCUUUAUCCAAAGCCAGCUUCCGAGGUCGCUGGAGGAAAAUGAUGACACACACGACCGAAGCCAGACUGACGUGGUGGCAUCACAAGGGAAGCGAAGUCAUGGUUAACAAAAGUCACGUUUGGAUUUUGGUGUGUGUCCAGCAGAAAGAAGGAAUGUGUCUCCGUCUCGGUGUUUCAUAGCAUCAUCGGCAGACUGGCAAAGGUGCGGCAUCCUCAGUAACAUUUGAACUUUGACGUGUGAGAUUGUGGAAAGAAUGCACAACUUGUACAGUCACGCUAAGAAGAACAAUGAGAUCGUAAAGGGAACGUGGUAUGAUUCUACGAGAAGAGCCUUGCUGAGUCGCAUUGCAGGAGGAGACAGGAUAUGCAGUGUGCCAGAAGUGGAGAGUUAAUGCUAGCGUUAUAAAGUCUUCCAUUGUUACGUUUUAACCUUUCAAAGUGAGGUGUGUGUAGUUUCACGGUGUUACUUAGCUUGAUAGACCUACUUACCUAUUACUCUCAGACGAUUCUGCGUUAUACAGUAGUGGAGGUUUAAGGGGAUUUCAAGGGAAGUCAUGAUUUUGUUGAUAGUUUAACAAGGAUGCUACGCCACGAAGGAAAAUAAAAG